rnacentral:rRNA from 1 species
CCUACGGGUGGCAGCAGUGAGGAAUAUUGGUCAAUGGGCGUUAGCCUGAACCAGCCAAGUAGCGUGAAGGAUGAAUGUUCUAUGGAUCGUAAACCUCUUUUAUAAGGGAAUAAAGUGUGGGACGUAUCCUAUUUUGUAUGUACCUUAUGAAUAAGGAUCGGCUAACUCCGUGCCAGCAGCCGCGGUAAUACGGAGGAUCCGAGCGUUAUCCGGAUUUAUUGGGUUUAAAGGGGGCGUAGGCGGCCUUUUAAGUCAGCGGUGAAAGUCUGCGGCUCAACCAUAAAAUUGCCGUUGAAACUGGGGGCCUUGAGUAUGGUUGAGGCAGGCGGAAUGCGUGGUGUAGCGGUGAAAUGCUUAGAUAUCACGCAGAACCCCGAUUGCGAAGGCAGCCUGCCAAGCCAUGACUGACGCUGAUGCACGAAAGUGUGGGGAUCAAACAGGAUUAGAUACCCCUGUAGUC